UCUCCGUUAAUGACUUUAGGUGCUUGCACUUGAGAGAUUUAACAUUGAGACGAGUGGCGAACUGGUGAGUAACACGUGGGUAACCUGCCCUUGAAGUAGGGGAUAACACUUGGAAACAGGUGCUAAUACCGUAUAACAACCAAAACUACCUGGUUUUGGUUUAAAAGACGGCUUCGGCUGUCACUUUAGGAUGGACCCGCGGCGUAUUAGCUUGUUGGUAAGGUAACGGCCUACCAAGGCGAUGAUACGUAGCCGACCUGAGAGGGUAAUCGGCCACAUUGGGACUGAGACACGGCCCAAACUCCUACGGGAGGCAGCAGUAGGGAAUCUUCCACAAUGGACGAAAGUCUGAUGGAGCAACGCCGCGUGAGUGAUGAAGGGUUUCGGCUCGUAAAACUCUGUUGUUGGAGAAGAACAGGUGUCAGAGUAACUGUUGACAUCUUGACGGUAUCCAACCAGAAAGCCACGGCUAACUACGUGCCAGCAGCCGCGGUAAUACGUAGGUGGCAAGCGUUGUCCGGAUUUAUUGGGCGUAAAGCGAGCGCAGGCGGUUUUUUAGGUCUGAUGUGAAAGCCUUCGGCUUAACCGGAGAAGUGCAUUGGAAACCGGGAGACUUGAGUGCAGAAGAGGACAGUGGAACUCCAUGUGUAGCGGUGAGAUGCGUAGA
rnacentral:rRNA from 1 species